CGCCACCUGAGUCCACUUCUGUUCUCGCUGCAGUCAACAAGCUCUCUCCAAAAUGAUUAACCGUGUCCUGCUGGUCGUGUUGGUGGUCGUAGUCCUGUCGGCUUCGACACUGGCCCUUCCUGAGGCAAGUCGUCGACUCUCGGUCGGCCUGUACGGAGGUUACGGAGGAUAUGGCCUUGGAGGAUUGGGCUACGGAGGCUAUGGAGGCUAUGGAGGCUAUGGAGGCUACGGACACUUCCAAUACGGUUACUACUAUGACUAGAUUAACCAAUCAACCAUAGCAAAGGAUGCCGCAUGUACUUAUCCUCCAUAUAAAGCAUAUAAUAAGGCUCGAAAUCGUCAACUCAGUGCUACCUAACUUCGUCCGAAGGAAAUACGACUUUUUAAAAGAAAACAAAAAGAAAUUAAGCAUUUUAAACACUGUGGAUCUUUGGCAAUCAGUCUAAUAAAUGUUUGGCUUUGCAUG